UUUAAAUUACCGAUAUUAGCGUUUUGUGUUAAAGUCUUAAAAUGCAGAAAAUGUUGGAGGUGUUGCAGAAAAUGCUGAAAAUGUAUCAGGAAAUGCAGAAAAUCUUGUUGCUGAAAAUGAUGGACAAGUUGCACAAAAUGCUGAAAAUGUCAAUGUUGUUGCUGCAAAUGUUGCAAUUCAGAGACAAAAUGUUGUCAAUGAUGUUACAAAUGAAGUAGUGAUUGGACAAGUAUGACUGUUAAAUUUUAAGGAUCGAUUUGCUAG
rnacentral:lncRNA from 1 species